CUAAGCCGAGAAUCUGAAAUUGUUAAAAUUAUCUCCUUUGAAUUUGAGAACUUGAGAGGUAAACAAGGUAAAAUGGCUUCCUUUGUGGCUUGACCUCGUAAACUCAGUAAAACUUUACUAAAAAAGCGAGAAACUUGACUUUGAGAAAGAAGCGGGGCACACUACAACAUAUUAAAAAAAUCACUCUAUCAUGUGAAAGUAAUAUAACUAAACACUACGAUUCUUUCUUUUACAACUUGAUUGGAUGGAACAAUGAUAUCAUGCAAAGCUCAAUCAACAAAUACGUUUUUUCAUCUCCCUCCGGACGUACCCUAGGAAAGAAGAACAAGAGUUGCCUCCCUCGAAAACAACUCGAAAGCAAGAAACCCUU
rnacentral:lncRNA from 1 species